AGAUUGUAUGUGGUAGACCUGUUAGAAUAAGUUGUGCUGUUGCGAAGGAAGGAGCUGUUAAGAAAGGAGGUGCAACAGAUUCAAGACCUAUGCAGAAAGAUCAAAAUGUGGAUAGUGUUGCAACAAGCACUGUUAGUGCAAAGAUUAGGAGGCGAACAUGUUAUGAAUGUGGAGAGCGUGGCCACCUUUCAUCGUCUUGUCCAAAGAAGCAUGAAAUUGAUCAGAAAGAACAAGUUGCUAGUUGAUUAUAGUAGGAGACUUUGCAUGUUCACAAAUCUGAUCUGAGCUGUGCUCAACAGAAAUUAUGGUGGAGUUGUUAUCCUCUUGGACCACAUUUCUAGAAGUCCAUUAUUUGCUCAUUUUCUAGUGCUUCCAGUAUUCUUUCAAUUUUGAACAUUUUGUUUGGUAGAUUUGUAAACAUAUGUAGCAGUUG
rnacentral:misc_RNA from 1 species